rnacentral:rRNA from 1 species
GGACUACACGGGUAUCUAAUCCUGUUUGCUCCCCACGCUUUCGCGUCUCAGUGUCAGAAAUGGUCCAGAAGGCCGCCUUCGCCACCGGUAUUCCUCCUAAUAUCUACGAAUUUCACCUCUACACUAGGAAUUCCACCUUCCUCUACCACUCUCCAGCUAGUUAGUUUCGGAUGCACUUCCUCGGUUGAGCCCAGGGAUUUCACACCCGACUUAACUAACCACCUACACGCGCUUUACGCCCAAUGAUUCCGAACAACGCUAGCACCCUACGUAUUACCGCGGCGGCUGGCAC